rnacentral:rRNA from 1 species
UACGUAGGGUGCAAGCGUUGUCCGGAAUCAUUGGGCGUAAAGAGCUCGUAGGCGGUCUGUCGCGUCUGCUGUGAAAACCUGGGGCUUAACCCUGGGCGUGCGGUCGAUACGGGCAUCACUGGAGUUCGGCAGGGGAGACUGGAAUUCCUGGUGUAGCGGUGAAAUGCGCAGAGUAUCAGGAGGAACACCGGUGGCGAAGGCGGGUCUCUGGGCCGAUACUGACGCUGAGGAGCGAAAGCGUGGGGAGCGAACAGG